rnacentral:rRNA from 1 species
CCUACGGGAGGCAGCAGUGGGGGAUAUUGCACAAUGGGGGAAACCCUGAUGCAGCGACGCCGCGUGGGUGAAGAAGCGCCUCGGCGCGUAAAGCCCUGUCAGCAGGGAAGAAAAUGACGGUACCUGAAGAAGAAGCACCGGCUAACUACGUGCCAGCCGCCGCGGUAAUACGUAGGGGGCAAGCGUUAUCCGGAUUUACUGGGUGUAAAGGGGGCGCAGACGGCGAUGCAAGCCAGGAGUGAAAGCCCGGGGCCCAACCCCGGGACUGCUCUUGGAACUGGGUGGCUAGAGUGCAGGAGGGGCACGCGGAAUUCCUGGUGUAGCGGUGAAAUGCGUAGAUAUCAGGAGGAACACCGGUGGCGAAGGCGGCCUGCUGGACUGCAACUGACGUUGAGGCCCAAAAGCGUGGGGAGCAAACAGGAUUAGAUACCCUUGUAGUC